CAGUAGCCGCGGGAAUACGAAGGGGGCUAGCGUUGUUCGGAAUCACUGGGCGUAAAGGGUGCGUAGGCGGAUUCUUAAGUCAGGGGUGAAAUCCCGAGGCUCAACCUCGGAACUGCCUUUGAUACUGGGGAUCUUGAGUCCGGAAGAGGUGAGUGGAACUGCGAGUGUAGAGGUGAAAUUCGUAGAUAUUCGCAAGAACACCGGUGGCGAAGGCGGCUCACUGGUCCGGAACUGACGCUGAGGCACGACAGCGUGGGGAGCAAACAGGAUUAGAUACCCCCGUAGUCCCUGUCUCUUAUAC
rnacentral:rRNA from 1 species